CUACGUGCCAGCAGCCGCGGUAAUACGGAAGGUCCAGGCGUUAUCCGGAUUUAUUGGGUUUAAAGGGAGUGUAGGCGGUUUGUUAAGCGUGUUGUGAAAUUUAGGUGCUCAACAUUUAACUUGCAGCGCGAACUGUCAGACUUGAGUACACGCAACGUAUGCGGAAUUCAUGGUGUAGCGGUGAAAUGCUUAGAUAUCAUGAAGAACUCCGAUUGCGAAGGCAGCGUACGGGAGUGUUACUGACGCUUAAGCUCGAAGGUGCGGGUAUCGAACAGGAUUAGAUACCCUGGUAGUCCGCACGGUAAACGAUGGAUGCCCGCUGUUAGCGCCUGGCGUUAGCGGCUAAGCGAAAGCAUUAAGCAUCCCACCUGGGGAGUACGCCGGCAACGGUGAAACUCAAAGGAAUUGACGGGGGCCCGCACAAGCGGAGGAACAUGUGGUUUAAUUCGAUGAUACGCGAGGAACCUUACCCGGGCUUGAAUUGCAGACGCAGGAUACAGAGAUGU
rnacentral:rRNA from 1 species